rnacentral:rRNA from 1 species
GUGGGGAAUUUUGCGCAAUGGGGGAAACCCUGACGCAGCGACGCCGCGUGAAGGAAGAAGGCCUUCGGGUUGUAAACUUCUUUUGCAAGGGAAAAACACUGAUGGUACCUUGCGAAUAAGCCACGGCUAACUCUGUGCCAGCAGCCGCGGUAAGACAGAGGUGGCAAGCGUUGUUCGGAAUCACUGGGCUUAAAGGGCGCGUAGGCGGUAUUGCAAGUGUGAGGUGGAAUUCCACAGCCUAACUGUGGAACUGCCUUGCAGACUGCAGUACUUGAGUCGGCGAGGGGAAGACGGAAUUCCUGGUGUAGCGGUGAAAUGCGUAGAUAUCAGGAGGAAGGCCGGUGGCGAAGGCGGUCUUCUGGCGCUUGACUGACGCUGAGGCGCGAAAGCGUGGGGAGCAAACAGGAUUAGAUACCCCUGUAGUCC